AUUAUCCCCAGCCUAUUAUUGUUUGUGUGGUUCUUCUGCUCCUCCUGCUGGGUCUCGCCGGCUUUCUCUACAAAUACAAAUACUAUGAAAAACUGAAAACUAAAGUUCUCAGCAGCACCGUGCCGGUCAGCAAGGGAGAUCUAGAGAGUAGGCCGCCCCAAGCAGUGGACAAUAUCUAUAUGGUUGAUGUUGUAUACGCAACUCCUAUUAAAAAACAUUGAUUAACUCUUAUUUAGAGUAAAAUAAAGUCUUAUUUUCUUAUAUCAAAACAUAUCUCGUUUAUUAUCAGGACACUAAUUAUAGAGUCAUCUGCUGGAUGGGGGUAUAACUGUCAGUUUCCUAUCAGAAAGCAAAUGUAUGUUAUAGGAUGAUUUGUCCUUUAUAAUAUGUUGUUUGACUUAUGUACAAAUCUGUAAUAAAAAUAUCUGUUAUUUUAUAAUGCCUUCAUUAAAAGUGUAUUCGUUUUCCUUUAUUGUUUUGUUACUUGACCUACUGGCAGUGGUGUAACUGAAAGUUACUGGGCCCCGAGCAAAAUCUUUUUAGGACCCUUCUAAAGUUUCUGCUUCCUGUAUGUGUAUUUUACCCCCUGAUUAUUCAGUAAGGAUGGGGAUAAUGGGCAGGGGUAUAGCUACAGGUGCUGUGCUGCAUUUGGAUCCUGAGAUCUUUCACUACAGAAGGAGACUAUGGAGCUCAAAGGGUUCUCUAAGUGAUCAGUACAAUUUCCCCAAACAUAAGAAUUCUGCCUCUUCCCAGCUUUCAAAUGGGGGUCACUGGCCCCAGUAGGAACAGACUAUUGUGAGGCUUCAAUGUUAUUGAUAUUGUUACUUUCAGCCCCUAUCCUAUUCAGUUUUCAGUCUGACAUUGACACC